AGUGAACGCUGGCGGUAGGCCUAACACAUGCAAGUCGAACGGCAGCACAGUAAGAGCUUGCUCUUACGGGUGGCGAGUGGCGGACGGGUGAGGAAUACAUCGGAAUCUACUUUUUCGUGGGGGAUAACGUAGGGAAACUUACGCUAAUACCGCAUACGACCUACGGGUGAAAGCAGGGGAUCUUCGGACCUUGCGCGAUUGAAUGAGCCGAUGUCGGAUUAGCUAGUUGGCGGGGUAAAGGCCCACCAAGGCGACGAUCCGUAGCUGGUCUGAGAGGAUGAUCAGCCACACUGGAACUGAGACACGGUCCAGACUCCUACGGGAGGCAGCAGUGGGGAAUAUUGGACAAUGGGCGCAAGCCUAAUCCAGCCAUACCGCGUGGGUGAAGAAGGCCUUCGGGUUGUAAAGCCCUUUUGUUGGGAAAGAAAAGCAGCAGGUUAAUACCCCGCUGUUCUGACAGUACCCAAAGAAUAAGCACCGGCUAACUUCGUG
rnacentral:rRNA from 1 species